CCUCACUAGCCAGAUGAAGCUAGCUGACUGCUUAUAACGUUAGCUUUGGGCUAGAGGGUUAAGAAGUUGGCUAGUUAACUGAAGUUCAAUUUAAAUAAGCUAAUACUAGCUAAUACGAGGUUCCUUAGGAAGAGGCUGGUUUAAAGCUCAUGUUACCCUAGCCCCUUUCAUUACAUUAGCUAGCUAAUACUUACUCACAAGGAUUCCUAAAUAAUUGCUAAGAAUGAUGAAAAUGACUAGUUUCUACUGGUCUUUGUUUUCAGGCUGGUUGUAUUGGUGUUAGCUAGGUAACUUUACCAAGCUAAUGCUAGAACGUUUCCAAUAGGAUAUCGCUAGCUCGUGCUUGGCUCUGCCCACUAUGACUCAUUUGUUCCCAUUGGAAACGACAUGUAGCGGUCUAACUUGUCUUUGCGUAACCCUUAUACAAAUGUUAACUUUCAACUUCAAUGGGGGUGGGGACAUCCCUAGGAUUCCGAUUAACACGGACCCUGAAAGAAGGAAAAGAAGUGACGUCUGGUAAAAUUAAAAGGGAGUAAUAUCCGGCAUUCUUCUGUAUUAUACCAUCAAUAUUUGGUCUCUGUAAACGGAUAGUUUUUCCUGUGUGUAUUUCAUCAAACUUCCUCUACACACAAGUCCAUACAUCGUGCAAUCGCAUUGGGCCAAAUCACAAAUUCACCCCCUUCUGAAGAUGAGAUGCUGCAUGCUAAAUUGGUACCCUAAAAAUAAAUAUUAGUUAGGUAGCUACCUCGUCUCUCUACUUUUAGAAAGGAGCUAACUAUGACUCUUAAAUAUAAUCUACUCAACCCUAUACUGAGCGUAUUUCAGUUAGUUUGUAUAGUUUUAAUAUUAUUUACUUGUAACUUUCAGUUUUGUCAAGCUAGUGAAGUCAGACCUGAAAAUGUCUUGUUUGGGGUCCAGGGCUAGACCCUAAAGUCGUUUUGCCCGUUCGAUCCAGGCUGUCAACUCAGCUGGGGAAAACUUCUCUCCAGGUAGACUCGUUCAGAAGCAGCAUGUCCGCAUCCACACCCACCUUCCCCUGGACAGAGGCGAUGGUUCCUUUCUGAUGAGGAAUUCUCAAUUGGCCAUGGAGGGGAGAGUGACCAAACUCAGCAUGCAUCCACAGAAAUGCACAAGAAGGCCACGCUAGCUAAAGGUGCUAGCAAUAUCGUCUACUGCGGAAAAUUAUGUUCUGCCUCCUACGGAAGGUGAGCCUGUGUAUUUCUCAGUAGCCAGUGAUGCCUCAAACAAGGGAAAUAGAAAAAUGUCCGUGUGACCGUGCACUGGCACGCCACCUUUUGUCCCUUAUUUGGUAGUGAGAAAGUUGGCAACCCUAAUUCAGCCUCAUUUACUGCCUUUAAAAAAAACAUAGCUGAUAUGGCUGAUUUGCUUAAACAAAUGUGGUUUUUACUGACAAUUGAGAUGUACAAACUAUGGCAUAAGGUGGGGGGGCGAGUAGAUAAGAGGCAAUCAGUCAUUUCGAUUGACAUUAAUGAGCGAGCUAGGACGGACAUAGUCAAUAUAAAUAUUUUUUCAGACUUCAGUGCUUUCCCCUCCAUUGACCUGCAGCGCCUCCUACAGGAGGUUCCCUGUCGGUUCUCCAACAGAGGAGGUCUCAUUCACUAUGCUGUAAUCGACAACCAGGUCGCUGUUCCCUGGGAAAAUGCAUUGACUUCAAGAUAAUAAUAAAAAAUAAAAAAAUGUCACCUUAAUUUUAUUAGUUCUCUGAUGAAAUGUUCCUCUCACUAUGCAGGAAGGUAAAACGUUGCUUUGUCUUUUUUGUGUCAUUGUAUGUGUUCACUAUUAUUUAUAGGUGAGUUUGUGUGUGCUGGUCUCUGUCCUUUCAUCAAUAAGUAUGAUCAUGGUCCUUUCUUAACUGUCCGAUGGUACUUAUUUGCCCCUCACCAGAAAUUCACAUAAUAAUAUAUUUUCAAUAUGAGGUGAGACUUCCUGAUGUGGAAUUUUACAUCAAUGUGGGAGACAGGCCAAUGGAAACAAGGAAGCAGAUGACAUUCCUGGGGCUGUUCCAAUCAUCUCCUGGUGCGGUUCCACAGACACCAUCCUCCCCACCUAUGACAACACUCACUCCACCCUGGAGACCCAGUGACAUUUCCAGUGACCCGCUGUCAGUCCAGGGCAACACAGGGGAAUGAUGAUGAAGCACAAGCGAUAGCAAAGCAGGCCAGACGAUUGUACGACAGCUCGUACAACCUAACAGAUUCUAAUGUUACUAUUACAGUGUGCUACAGCUGUACUCUGAGCGUCAGACCAACCAGCCCACACUGCAUCCAGACAUGAAGCGGGUUCCCCAGCCAUCCGACCAGAGUGCCCUUUGCAGCUGUCAGCAAGAGCCUCAAAGAGAUGAUCCCAGCCUGGAGAAGGAUGAACCCUGAUCAACACUGAAAAGAAAGGGAAGAAACACUAGCUAUUUCAAUACAGAAAGUGCCUUGGACUUCUGCUUGCUUGUUGAUGGAGAUUCUAUGCAAUGAAGAAGUACUGUGUGACCAGGACUGCUUAGUGGAUGUACCAACACUCAUAUAGACGAUCAAAUAUUAAAUGUGGUUUGAGCCAAACAGACCUUGUCACAGCUCACUUUACUGAGCCUUUACUGAGCCUGGAAUAUGACUGUUUUAUUGACAAGACCAUUAUGCGGAAGCAUCUGUUUUCACUAACCUGAGUGAUAUUGCCAUAUAGAUUGGUUUCUUUUUGGACUCUUCUAAAGCCACUAUGAUUGUGCAAUUAAAUGACCUAUUUACUUCGACGUACUGUUGUGAAAAAAAUACAAUUGUAUUGAAACAUU